rnacentral:rRNA from 1 species
UACGGAGGGGGCUAGCGUUGUUCGGAAUUACUGGGCGUAAAGCGCACGUAGGCGGAUUGUUAAGUCAGGGGUGAAAUCCUGGGGCUCAACCUCAGAACUGCCCUUGAUACUGGCGAUCUAGAGUCCGGAAGAGGUUAGUGGAAUUCCCAGUGUAGAGGUGAAAUUCGUAGAUAUUGGGAAGAACACCAGUGGCGAAGGCGGCUAACUGGUCCGGUACUGACGCUGAGGUGCGAAAGCGUGGGGAGCAAAC